UAGAGAGUUCACAGCUCGGUAAAAAAAAAUUCUAAAUUUUGUAGUUUUUUUUCGGCAAUAUUUAUUUGACUAGAUAUUAAGAAUAAAGUGAUAUUUUUUUACAACUAAUUUAAGCAAAAAGUGAAAAACACAAUCAACUAACAAAAGACAGUGAAAAGAAAACAACAAAAAUGUUCGUGGGGCAGAGAACUCACAGCUCGAAAAAUAAUAAAUGCAACAAUUAACAGCUCAACACCAAUCAAAUACCGCGAAAAAUACUCUGGGGUCUCACUUUAGAUGGCAGUAGGUUUUCCUCGGGGUCCAAUGGAUGCUGGAUCAUAGACGACUAAUACAACAAUCAAUCAACACCAAUCAAAUAACGCGAAAAAUACUCUGGGGUCUCACUUUAGAUGGCAGUAGGUUUUCUUCGGGGUCCAAUGGAUGCUGGAUCAUAGACGACUAAUACAACAAUCAACACCACCCGUUCAGCAUUAAACAAUAAUCAAAAAAAAAACUGCGAAAAAGCUGGCAGGAGGUCGUCCUUGGAGUCUAACGGAUGUACAAUCGGAUACACGGUCAAACACGUUCACGAGUGCGAACUACAUAUACUAAACACACUAUACUAUAUUUUGAUACUAAUAAUUAUAUAUUUUUAUACCAAAAACAAA
rnacentral:sRNA from 1 species